rnacentral:lncRNA from 1 species
ACCUGCGUGCCGCUGUCCCCAGUGCUGGUUAAAGGCAGUUCUUCGGGCGUGCGUCCCUUAUCAACCCGAGAGACCGUUCCCAAGGGGGCGGGGCCGAGCGCGUCGGAGGGGUUAGCAGUCUCAUCCGGGCAUUUCCGAGAUGCCGCCGCCGCCAUCUUUGUUUUGUGCUGAAAGUCGCUAUUGACGCCCGCGGACGGCCGGGCGAGGGGAAGUGGCAAGAUGGCGGCUCCCAGGGCGGAGGCGUGGAGGCUCGCCCGGUGGGGGGGCCGUGGGGCGGGGCGCGCCUGCGCCUGCACCUGAUCUGAGCGCGACUCGAGCUUUAGCCCAGCGCGCGGCAGCGCCGACCCCCACCCCCGCCGCGAGGCAGCGCAGGGGUCCUUUAAGAGGCUUGGGCCCAGGGGCGAAGCGGUGCGAGGGCGAGUGGGGGGAAGCGGUGACGUCACCCGGCUCCGCCUCCUCGCCCGACCGCCGGCGCCGCUGCCGCCAUGUUUAGUUGUUACUUCUUCACACAAGAUGGCGGCUCCCAGGGAGGAGGCAUGAGCGCCCUGCCGUUACCGCUUCUUCUGCCGUACAGUUGCCGCUUCGGGGCCUAACUCUAGCUCUUUGAAGCGGCUCCUGUGGGAA